rnacentral:lncRNA from 1 species
AAUAGUACUGCGCGCCCCACGGAGCCCACUGGCCCCACGGGAUGCCCUGGUGGGUUUCUGCUGAACCUUUGUGCCCAGGGCCGGCACAGGGUGGCACCGUCGGUGUUUCUGACCAGCGUCGGCCUCAGCCGGCUCCGCGUGGGACAGCUCUCAGACGCCGCUGGAGUCUGGCACGCACGGAGCAGCGGCUGCACGGAGACCAGACUCGGCCCCUUCCUGGCUGCCCCACGUGUGCCCGCACAGAACGCACGCACACUCACGACUCGGUGCCAAUGGGGGAAGCAGUGCAGCGACCAGCAAGUGGCGAGUGUUGGGCACUUGUUGAUUACCUGCUACCUAAUCCAUGAAUUCCCAGAAUUCCCGGUCUCCGGUAAUCGGUCUCUGCAGCCGGUUUUCCGCCUGGUUGAUUAUGAACAUCCUUCAGAAGCGUUAGCCCUGAACAACAAAGCCCCACCUUGGAACUCAGUAGCUGUGCUGUCCCCCUGCACCCGACACCCAGUCCACCCGGCCAACAGCCCGUUGGCGUCCGGCUUCCUCCUGUGCUUCCCGCUCGUGUUGCCCGCACACAGCCCGGCAGGUCGACGGAGGCUGCAUCAGCGUCCCUUCUCACACGCGGGGUCUCGAGCAGGGGCCUUUACACAACUUCCACGUGGGAGGGGGCACGACGUGUGCUCAGGGAGACGGUGAGAGACCCGCGGGUCCCAGGGCUCAGGGGAACUGUCCUGAGUUGGGUGUACGUGCCAAGCACCGGGGCAGCACACGGGGACAAGACCAGUGGGCAGCUCUCAGCCGGUGCUUACGCAGCCCUCCAAAUUAUGCUCAUCAGGACGGACCCCAGACCUGUGGGGGGACCAAGGGCAGAACUAGAAAGGAGAGAGAACCCAGCCACACUGCAGUGGUGGAACACUGUGUCUUUUAUUGAGAACAUCUCAAAUCCUUUGUCUACAGGACAGCGUCUCAUGCUUGGUUCCGGCUGGUCUCGGUGCGAGGGAAGCUCAUGCAGAUUGUAACGUGUGGUAUAUACAUCAGUAUACAUACAGAGGACAGGGGGGCUGGGUCUCAGCGACAGGGUUCUCGGCUGAAUUACAUUCAUAUAAAGUGUCCAAAUUCUAAAAUAAAAUAAAAGCAUUUAACCCAGUAUCUGGAGAAGCAAACUGCUUCCGGGCUCGCUCUACAAACAUUCCACAGACAGCCUCUAACAUUCGUGGUCGCGUCCAGAAGGACGGGCACCAGCUCCCGAUGGACCAUCAGCCCACCGUGUGGCCAACUAGGUGUUCUUGGGGUUGGGGGCUCACCCCUGCAAACAGCGAACAACGCAGACGGCGGCUCCAGAGGACAGCUACGGGUCAGGACGGAGUAAGACCCCACCCUCGCCGGCCCCGAAGGACGUGACUGGCCGUGUGGCCGGAGAGAGGGUCACGGGACAUGCCAGGGGACAAGGACAGACAACGCUGGACACACGCGCCAUCACAAAUACUCUGCCCUUUCUGCUUAUCUAGUUGGGGGUUGGUGACAAGGAAUCUUUUGAGAGAUUGUCUGAUUUCAUACAUUUUAGAGAGGAAAGCCAGCUGAUUUAUUUCUCCUGCUAGAUCAAACUUACAGGCGGGGCAGGCCCUAUAUUUUGGUGUAAAAUGUUUUAGAAAUAAAGAAAACCCGUCUGAUUUGUUUUUGUGUUUUGAGAAAAAGGGGGUGAGGCGCACAGCCCUCCCCCACAGCACUUACGGACCCCACCGUCAGGUCCGCCCCCUCGAGGCCAAGGCCAGAGCGCUGCCCCUCUCCGCAGCAUCACUGUGUGAAAUUACAAGCAGUCUUCACAAAGAAAGCAGGGAUUCUGUCGUCUGGGUAUUGGGAAACCAUGAAUAAAAAUACAUUCCGGAGAAGCAAAUGCCUCGUGAGAGGUUGGCUUGCAUAUUUUAAAAUAAAAUCACUGUUUGUGAUUAAACGAGUCAAUCAAACGCUGACUCAGAAGCAGAGCUCUGCUCUGCAGCGCCCCUGGCCUGGGAAGAGGGGUGCCGGGCACUGGGCUGACGUGGCCGCGCCCUGCCUGAGACAUCCUGCAACUUGUGCCUCCCGCUAGGGGGACAGCUGCCUGCGGGCCGGUGUCUUGGCGGAAUUAAUAGGUUAAGCGAACAAAACAGAUGGGAACCCUCCCAACCCCCACUGGUCAAAAUGUCCUCAAAAUUGAAGAUUUUUCUAAAAAAAUCAAGUUCUUAGUUGUGUCAAAUUUUCUAAGUCUCUAGAAUCCUGAUUAAGGGCACUGAAUGCAAAGUGAUGCCUGGGGGAAAUAGGGAGCACGCACAGCCUCAGAAGGGACCCGAGCACUGGGUCUCCUGACGUGUCUCCGGGAGCAGUUCGUGCUGGUCUCCGUUCUGCUCCAGCUGUCCGUCCUGGGAGCUGUGCGGGCCCCACGGGUGGACGGGGCUCCCUUCCUCCCCUCCCGACCCACCUGCGGGGCCCGGACACUCACGGGACCGGCACACGGGACAGCUGGGGCGGGGAGGCCACGCGCACCUCAACCGUUAGGGCACAGAGGGAGGAGGUCAGACAAACCGGGUGGUGUUUGUAUGUGUGAGACAUAUCUCCACUGAACUUUUAAUCAAAAUCCACGUAUUUUUUUUAAAAACUAAGUCCAUCUCCCAAUCCCCAUUAGAAAAAAUACCAUUUAUAGAGAGAAUAAAAACGCAGGGGCUCAUGGAUGGCGUGUGUGUGGGAGCGCCUGCGUGGGGAGGGCGGUGACACCAGCUGGCACCCUUCCUGCUACCAGCGGAAAUAGGCGGCAGCCCAUUCAGCCAAACUGCAGCCCGCUGCAC